UCCUUGGUGGUCCAGUGGUUAAGACUCUGCACUUUCACUGCUGAGGACCUGAGUUUGAUUCUUGAUCAGGGAG
rnacentral:tRNA from 1 species